rnacentral:rRNA from 1 species
AUUGAACGCUGGCGGCAUGCCUUACACAUGCAAGUCGAACGGUAACAGGUUAAGCUGACGAGUGGCGAACGGGUGAGUAAUGUAUCGGAACGUGCCCAGUCGUGGGGGAUAACUGCUCGAAAGAGCAGCUAAUACCGCAUACGACCUGAGGGUGAAAGCGGGGGAUCGCAAGACCUCGCGCGAUUGGAGCGGCCGAUAUCAGAUUAGGUAGUUGGUGAGGUAAAGGCUCACCAAGCCGACGAUCUGUAGCUGGUCUGAGAGGACGACCAGCCACACUGGGACUGGGACACGGCCCAGACUCCUGAGGGAGGCAGCAGUGGGGAAUUUUGGACAAUGGGCGCAAGCCUGAUCCAGCCAUGCCGCGUGCGGGAAGAAGGCCUUCGGGUUGUAAACCGCUUUUGUCAGGGAAGAAACGGGCGUCUCUAAUACAGAUGCCUAAUGACGGUACCUGAAGAAUAAGCACCGGCUAACUACGUGCCAGCCGCCGCCGUAA